rfam:Schistosoma haematobium scaffold631_19, whole genome shotgun sequence.
AUCCAGCUGACGAGUCUCAAAUAGGACGAAACGCGUGUCCUAUAU